CGGGGAGCAGGCGGCGCAGGAGAGCGCCCCGAGUCCCGGCGCGGGAGGAGGAGCGGGAGCCAGCCCGGGAGACCGCGCUCCUGGCCGCACCUGCGUCGGGCAGACGGCCACCCGGCCCCGUCCUGCCUAACCCCGUCCUCGUCCCCGGCCCUGCACCGUGUCGUGCACCCCGCGGCCCUCUGGAAAGGACAGAGGGGGGCGCCAGAUUGGAUGAAAACUGGAGAGCCAAGUCUUGGGAGUGAGAACCACAGAACACCCCUGGCUUUGCUGGUGGAGAAGGAGUCUUGUCAAAAUGACCCUAUCGCCUUCUCUUCCGCGUGCAUGAAGGAACUGGGUGAUUGGGCAUUCUUUUUCAGAGACACAUGA
rnacentral:lncRNA from 1 species